rnacentral:tRNA from 1 species
GUUAUAAAUUUUUGAUAUUUAAUGGAGAAAAUCUUAACCAAAUUUGAGCAUAUCUUAUAACU